rnacentral:tRNA from 1 species
UCCCUGGUGGCUCAGCCGGUAAAGCGCCCGCCUACAAUGCGGGAGACCAGGGUGUUCAAUCCCUGCGUUGGGAA